rnacentral:tRNA from 1 species
GGGGCGAUAGCUCAGUUGGGAGAGCGCCUGCUUUGCACGCAGGAGGUCAGGGGUUCGAACCCCCUUCGCUCCA